ACUCCUACGGGAGGCAGCAGUGGGGAAUAUUGCACAAUGGGCGCAAGCCUGAUGCAGCCAUGCCGCGUGUGUGAAGAAGGCCUUGGGUUGUAAAGCACUUUCAGUCGUGAGGAAGGUAGUGUAGUUAAUAGCUGCAUUAUUUGUACGUUAGCGACAGAAGAAGCACCGGCUAACUCCGUGCCAGCAGCCGCGGUAAUACGGAGGGUGCGAGCGUUAAUCGGAAUUACUGGGCGUAAAGCGCAUGCAGGUGGUUUGUUAAGUCAGAUGUGAAAGCCCGGGGCUCAACCUCGGAAUAGCAUUUGAAACUGGCAGACUAGAGUACUGUAGAGGGGGUAGGAAUUUCAGGUGUAGCGGUG
rnacentral:rRNA from 1 species